rnacentral:rRNA from 1 species
UCUUGGUCAUUUAGAGGAAGUAAAAGUCGUAACAAGGUUUCCGUAGGUGAACCUGCGGAAGGAUCAUUACAGAGAACUUGCCCUUCGGGGUAGAUCUCCCACCCUUUGUUUAUCAUACCUUUGUUGCUUUGGCAGGCCCACCUUUUGGGGUCGUCGGCUUCGGCUGGUCAGCGCCUGCCAGAGGAUCUCAAACUCUUGAUUUAGUGUUGUCUGAGUACUUGAUAAAUAGUUAAAACUUUCAACAACGGAUCUCUUGGUUCUGGCAUCGAUGAAGAACGCAGCGAAAUGCGAUAAGUAAUGUGAAUUGCAGAAUUCAGUGAAUCAUCGAAUCUUUGAACGCACAUUGCGCCCAGUGGUAUUCCGCUGGGCAUGCCUGUUCGAGCGUCAUUUCAACCCUCAAGCCCAGCUUGGUAUUGGGUGCCAUCGUACUGGUGCGCCUUAAAAUCAGUGGCGGUGCCAUCUGGCUUCAAGCGUAGUAAUACUUCUCGCUCUGGAGGUCCGGGUGGUCCACUUGCCAAAACCCCCCUACUUUCUUAAGGUUGACCUCGGAUCAGGUAGGGAUACCCGCUGAACUUAAGCAUAUCAAUAAGCGGAGGAAAUCUAGAUGCA